rnacentral:rRNA from 1 species
CCUACGGGGUGCAGCAGUCGAGAAUCAUUCACAAUGGGGGAAACCCUGAUGGUGCGACGCCGCGUGGGGGAAUGAAGGUCUUCGGAUGGUAAACCCCUGUCAUGUGGGAGCAAAUUAAAAAGAUAGUACCACAAGAGGAAGAGACGGCUAAGUCUGUGCCAGCAGCCGCGGUAAUACAGAGGGCUCAAGCGUUGUUCGGAAUCACUGGGCGUAAAGCGGGCGUAGGCUGUUUCGUAAGUCGUGUGUGAAAGGCGCGGGCUCAACCCGCGGACGGCACAUGAUACUGUGGGACUAGAGUAAUGGAGGGGGAACCGGAAUUCUCGGUGUAGCAGUGAAAUGCGUAGAUAUCGAGAGGAACACUCGUGGCGAAGGCGGGUUCCUGGACAUUAACUGACGCUGAGGCACGAAGGCCAGGGGAGCGAAAGGGAUUAGAUACCCUUGUAGUC